GGGCGCGUAGGCGGUCCGACAAGUCAGGGGUGAAAUCCUGCAGCUUAACUGUAGAAGUGCCUCUGAUACUGUCGGUCUUGAGGGAGAUAGGGGUGUGCGGAACUUCCAGUGGAGCGGUGAAAUGCGUUGAUAUUGGAAGGAACGCCGGAGGCGAAAGCGGCGCACUGGAUCUCUACUGACGCUGAGGCGCGAAAGCCAGGGGAGCAAACGGGAUUAGAUACCCCGGUAGUCCUGGCCCUAAACGAUGGGUACUAGAUUGUAGACUGAUCAUGGGUUUACAGUCGAAGCAAAAGUGUUAAGUACCCCGCCUGGGGAGUAUGGUCGCAAGGCUGAAACUCAAAGAAAUUGACGGGGGCUCACACAAGCGGUGGAGCAUGUGGCUUAAUUCGAGGCUACGCGAAGAACCUUAUCCUAGGCUUGACAUGUGCGAAAGCGGCAGGGGGUAGUCUCUUGGAAACUUGAGACGAAGGUAUCCAAUCCUGAACCUGCUACAGGUGCUGCAUGGCUGUCGUCAGCUCGUGUCGUGAGAUGUCGGGUUAAGUCCCAUAACGAGCGAAACCCUUGCUUCCAGUUGCCAGCGAGUAAUGUCGGGGACUCUGGAAGGACUGCCGGUGUUAAACCGGAGGAAGGUGGGGAUGACGUCAAGUCCUCAUGGCCUUUAUGCCUAGGGCUGCACACGUGCUACAAUGCAACGAACAAAGGGAAGCUAACCCGUGAGGGGGAGCCAAUCCCAAAAAACGUUGCCCAGUUCAGAUCGAAGGCUGCAACUCGCCUUCGUGAAGUUGGAAUCGCUAGUAAU
rnacentral:rRNA from 1 species